rnacentral:ribozyme from 1 species
AGUCGUUACAGCGACUAUAAAUAGGGUAAUAGGCUGUAAGCGGUUCGUAACGUAAUCAUCAUAUGGAUGAGCGUUACGGACGAACCA